AUUACUCUUGCCGCCUGCUCUGCUGAUCUUGUAUGGACCUUCCCAGAUGGGAUCCAUCUUUUUGGAGCCUUCUCUGCGGACAGUGAUGAAGGCUUUUCUUAGGACUAGAUGUUCGGGCUGGAAUUGUAGCAUCUUGGCCCUUUUGUUGUGGCUGGAGAGGAACUGCUGCUGGUAGGCUGCAAUGCGGGUGAUAGUCUGCUCGUACUUUUCCUUUGCCUGAUCUAAGCUUGUGGCCAUCUCCUUUCGGUUGCUCGUCUUUUGGUGGUGAGAUAUGCCCAUAGACAUAUAGGGAAUUCAUGUGGCCAUUUUCUUUUCUUGCCGGUGGGGGAUUUCUUGUGGCAGUUGAGGAUCAUCUUGGUGGAUGCUUUGGCCCGUCUAUUGCCUUGAGGAUAUCUUGGUGUAGACAUGUGCUGCUUGAUGCCAUAUUUAUGGUUUAAUGUGUGAUUUAAUGGAUUAAUUAGGCAAUUAAUCCCUUAAUUGGUUAAUCAACACAUUUUUGGAAUAAAUAUUUUGGGGUUAUGUGAUUUAUGUGGAAUAUUUUGUAAGUUGUGGAAUGAUUACCUUGUGGAAAAUAUAGGAUGAGGAUGGAUGAAAUAAUUUUGAGUUUGUUACCUAUUUUGGGCACUUUUGAUUUGGUUGAAAGAGGGUUGCCUGCUGCUCGCGCGUAGGAAUCCCAUUGUACCGUAAGGGUAUUUUUGUCCUUUUGUCCAAAAAUGCAUGUAUCGCCUUGUGAUUAUUUUUUGCUCCACAAGUUUAGAAGAGGUUGGGCUACUCUACCUACUAGUAGUGUAUCACUAGCUCUUUUGUUAGCUAAAAACAACACAACCAUAUCUAUAUGUUCAGAGAUUUUUUUAGUAUAACCAGCACACGAGGUGGUACACCACGUGUCAAUAUACAAAUGGUAAGAUAUGUGUAUUAAAAAGUUAAUAACUUAAAAAAUAAAUUUUCUCACCACUUACAUAAAAACACAUGAUGUAUCAUUUAUGUUCUCAUCACAAUAAAAAAAAAUCUCGUAUAUGUUGUCUCUCACCUUGCAUUUCAAACAUGUACAAUUGUGAGAGUCUUGUCAUAAAAGACUUCCAUAGAAUUUAACAUUAGAACCACGUGGUUGAGGGGAUGAUUAAUGGUUCUGCCCCAUACAUGAAUACGAGUGGUCCUUAUACAGUAUGAGACUUAAGACGAAAACGCAAUGAUGCUUUUCUAAUUUAAUACUUUAGUAUAAUAUUCUUAAUAAAUUAGUGCAAUUAAAAAGCUUUCUACUAACUAUCUCCACAAUAAUAUCUACAAGAAUAAGUGAAACUUUUAGUACGACGAGUUAGUGGGAUUUCUUGUUUUUUUUCCUGGUGCUUCCAAGAUAUGGGGAAUCGUCUCCAUGACUUUUAAUUUUUUUUUUUUCUUUCUGAGAACAACCUUAAUGGACUUUUCAAAGAUAACAGACGCUUUUUGAUUUGAAAAUGCUUGAGACCUAUAAAAUAUACAUCUUUUGUACGUAUUUCUUUCAUAUAAAAAAAACUGCUCAGAUUUAUUAAUUUUAGUGUUCUUUUCCACCUGGUCCAAAAUGUAGGGUGAUCAUAUGUCACAAUUUUGCCACUUUUAUUUUAGCUUAAGGUUUAGGGUUGAAUUGGGAGUUUAAAAAUCAUUAACCAAUUAUUGUUGCUGUCCGUGUUGCCCUAACAACGUGCUUUCGCACGUAGUGUUCUUUAAAAAAUUUAUGCAUGUCAUCUAUCCCUAUCGUACUCCAGCUUGAUAUUUUUAAGAGAAGAGUUUGCUUCUUAAGGUUGAGGAUGAGUUCCUCAUGAACAUACUUCGUGGCCUAUUUACAUAACUUUGUACUUAUAAUAAAAAUCAUUCAUAUUCAAGGUUAAAAAAAUUAUAGGCUCUAGUAGAACGGCGGGUAGGGGCCUAGGCGGGUUUUUUAUUUUAAUUAAAUUUGUUAUAUAACAAUAAAAACAUAUAAAUAAAUGACUAAAAUUGAUUAAUACAUAAAAUAAAAUAUGUAUUCAAAGUUAUUUUACAAGAAAGAAGUUCAAAGUCAAAGAUUAUAAAAUAUAAAAAAUCAAUUAAAACUAAGUCGUUUAAUCAAUUACUUGUAGCAAAUAAAAAGAUAGUUCAUAAUGCUUUUACUAAAUCUGUCCAUCUAUGUUUAUACAAUUCAAUAACUAAAUAAUCUUACUUUUAAUUGAUUUGCAACAUGAAACAUAUCUCAAGAGAACUUUGCUGCAAAUUAUUUGGGGCUUACAUAUUUUGGACAGUCCUCCCAGUUUCUUUCUAGUAUUUUAGAUGAUGAUAAUUAAAGGAGGAUGUGGGCCAACACUUUAAUGGAUAAGGUGUUGAGUUUCUAUUCAUGUAUUGCAGGUUCGAAAUUAUCAUUUUAAAUUAUUAUAAUAGUUUUGAAACCUUCUCCUCCUCUUAUUAUAAUAUAUAUAUAUAUAUAUAUAUAUUUUAAAUGAUGAUAAGACGGGCAAAGCUGAUGUUCGGGCUUGAGUCUGUUAGGGUUUGUUGUUUCUUGUUUGGCUUCGGCCUGCCUAUUACCAAAAAAAAAAUGACUGGGAUUUGACCACUGACGGUCUUGUAGCAUUUUUGUCUAAAACUAAUUUGAAACAUGACUCGUAAUGACUCAUGAUUGUGGCUGCCGAGGAGAUUAUUUGGGUUUUGAUCGUGAUACUCGAUCUCAUCCUAAUUACGUUUUUGGAUGUUCAAACCAAGGAAGAAAAUAUCGGUAAUAUCGGAAAUAUCGGUAGUCCGAAAACACGAAAAUAUCGAUGGAAAUAUCGGGAUAAUAUCGAUAUCGAUAAAAAUUACAUGGAAACUACGGAAAUUGUAAUAAAAACUUGGAAAUUUUUAUUGAAACUUUGCAGGAUGUUUAUUUAGUCAAUUAUCUAUUAGUUUAUCACAAAAAAUUGGAAGGAAAUACAUUGCAUGAUGGAUUUAACAUUAUCAAGUUGAUUAUAUAGCGAGCUGACAAACAUUGUGAGUGUAGAAAAUAUGUAGUAAUUAAUGAAAGAAGUCUAAACACACCAUAAUCAUUUAUAUAUAAUGAAUUAGUACAAUAUUUUACACUUUAGUACCAUAUAGAGUUUCUAUGAGGUUCAAAUUUUUCACUAUCUUCAUCAUCUCUACGUGUAGAAUGAGUGUAUUGUGAAGAGUAGUUAUCAAAUGAUAAAUCCCCAAAAUAGUUUUGCAUGUAAUUGUUAACAUGCCACCCAUAUGGAUCCGAGAUUGGUUGAGGUUGUCCAUAAGAAAAAUCAUUUGAAGAUUGAGUCUGUGAUUGUUUCCAUGAGUCGCUCGAUUCCAUCCCAACAGGAAUGGGAUAUGAAGGGUAGGG
rnacentral:lncRNA from 1 species